rnacentral:rRNA from 1 species
AAAUUGAAGAGUUUGAUCAUGGCUCAGAUUGAACGCUGGCGGCAGGCCUAACACAUGCAAGUCGAACGGUAACAGGAAGAAGCUUGCUUCUUUGCUGACGAGUGGCGGACGGGUGAGUAAUGUCUGGGAAACUGCCUGAUGGAGGGGGAUAACUACUGGAAACGGUAGCUAAUACCGCAUAACGUCGCAAGACCAAAGAGGGGGACCUUCGGGCCUCUUGCCAUCGGAUGUGCCCAGAUGGGAUUAGCUAGUAGGUGGGGUAACGGCUCACCUAGGCGACGAUCCCUAGCUGGUCUGAGAGGAUGACCAGCCACACUGGAACUGAGACACGGUCCAGACUCCUACGGGAGGCAGCAGUGGGGAAUAUUGCACAAUGGGCGCAAGCCUGAUGCAGCCAUGCCGCGUGUAUGAAGAAGGCCUUCGGGUUGUAAAGUACUUUCAGCGGGGAGGAAGGGAGUAAAGUUAAUACCUUUACUCAUUGACGUUACCCGCAGAAGAAGCACCGGCUAACUCCGUGCCAGCAGCCGCGGUAAUACGGAGGGUGCAAGCGUUAAUCGGAAUUACUGGGCGUAAAGCGCACGCAGGCGGUUUGUUAAGUCAG